rnacentral:rRNA from 1 species
AACGAACGCUGGCGGCAGGCCUAACACAUGCAAGUCGAACGCUGUAGCAAUACAGAGUGGCAGACGGGUGAGUAACGCGCGGGAACAUGCCCUUCGGUUCGGAAUAACUCAGGGAAACUUGAGCUAAUACCGGAUACGCCCUUAGGGGGAAAGAUUUAUUGCCGAAGGAUUGGCCCGCGUCCGAUUAGCUAGUUGGUGAGGUAAUGGCUCACCAAGGCGACGAUCGGUAGCUGGUCUGAGAGGAUGAUCAGCCACACUGGGACUGAGACACGGCCCAGACGCCUACGGGAGGCAGCAGUGGGGAAUAUUGGACAAUGGGCGCAAGCCUGAUCCAGCCAUGCCGCGUGAGUGAUGAAGGCCCUAGGGUUGUAAAGCUCUUUCGCCAGGGACGAUAAUGACGGUACCUGGAUAAGAAGCCCCGGCUAACUUCGUGCCAGCCGCCGCUGUAACAC